rnacentral:rRNA from 1 species
GACAGAGGUGCCAAGCGUUAGGCGGAAUCACUGGGCUUAAAGCGUGUGUAGGCGGACUUCUAAGUACCUUGUGCAAAGUCCCCAACCGGGCUUACCCGUGGAAACGGCUGGGUGAUACUGGUCGGUCUUGAGGCCAUCUAGGGGCCUACCGGAACAAAUGGUGGAAGCGGUGAAAUGCGUAGAUAUCGAUUGGAACGCCAAUGGUGAAAACAGGUAGCUGGGGAUGUGACUGACGCU